UGACGAAAACUUUUAAGUCGUGUACUACCACAAGAAUUUCUAGACCCUUGAUAUAGACUUUUGAACAAAAUUGGGUAAGUAAUCGGGUCAUGUAUAAAGAAAUAUGUGCUUAUAAAUGUUUCUCGAAGUAUUUCUUCACUCAGUUCUCUCUCUUAAGGGAAGACACUAAGAUGGCAUGCAAAUAAAAAAAUAUACACAUAUAAAUCCCACAUGAAAGUGGUAAAAUAUGCAGAGAAAGCUAUAGUUUACUAAAUUAAAAUAAAAUAACUAUAUUCAGACGUAAUUGUUUCGAGAAUUAUGAAUUAAUUGAAACCACUUGGCCAAAUUUGAUAGUGCUGACUGAGAUAUCAGAAUAAACGUUUAUUUCUUGACAUUUUUUUUUAUUCGGUUUAUAUAAAAAUUAGCAUCUGCUACCAUCAAAAUAGACCUGAAGUUAGACAGCUAGAUAAAAAGAAAGCAAGGAAAACUGACGAUACUUAAAGAAAUAAAGCAGGGCAGUUUUACGCUCUGUUGAACAAAAUAACGGCAGCCAAUAGUUAUUUGAAACUUUGGCCAGAAAGAAAUAACGUAAUUGAAGUCUACUUUUAAGCAGUCUUACCUGGAGGAGUUGAAGAUUGAAACGGCAGCACUUAAUGUUUGUCUUUAUAAAUUUUAUCAGCAAUUAAACAGUUUUCGACGUCGAUGCCCACAGUGGUGGUACGCCAGGUUUCGACGUAGAAUUAAUCGUUAUAUUUGUUAUAUAAACUCAUGUACGUUGGAACCCAUAUUUCCACAAAUUAAAGUGGUGCAGGUAAAUUCAUAGAAAAUGGAAGAGAAAUUCGUUUUCUAUUACUAGAAUUGAAGCGAUGACUAUUAUUUUGUAGAAAGUCGUGUUCUGCUGUGAGACGCGUCGUCACAUUUGCCCAUGGUGGAGCCUUAGAAAGAGUGGAAAAUGGAUUUUUAACUGCUUUUUGUAUAUCAGUUAUUGUGGUGAAUCUAGAUUGGUAGCCGAAUCCGAACUGAUGAUCCAGUUUACUAAACUAAUGCCACAGAAUGUGUCGGCUGAAACCGCGGAAUUGAUUCAAGUGUGUUUAUAGCGGAAACGGUACACACCUUUUUCUGAUUAUCUUUCGUUAACAAGUGAAAGUGGGAAAGUAUGUGAUAUUUGUUCGUCAAUUUGAAGAGUGCAGCAUUGGUUUUCAGUGUUGUUUUAAUGUGAUGAAGCUUGGAACAAUGAAAUCGCUUGAAAAUCAUAAUGUAAUAAGUGUUACGUAAACCGGCCAACGGGAGUUACGAAAGCGUUUGUUUACGGAGUCAGCUGCCAGAUACGAGACCACCACUUCUAUAGUAGUGCAGCAAGAAGAAGACAGCUGCUGCUACAUUCGUGUGGCGUGAAGAAAGAUACUUAGAAGUGGAAGAACCCUGAGAACGCAUACCUCUACCCCCCCCCCCACCCCCCCCCCCCCCAACCCCCCCCCCCCCAAAAAAAAAGGCAUAUGUCCAAAUCCACCUCACAAUCUACCGGACUUAUCCUUGGCCCAUAAAUCACCAUCCAUAAAAUUUCUUUGGAUUCCAUCGGUGGUUUUUGUGAUAUCUUGUGAAUAUAUACAGACCCUCAGACAGACAAACGGACUGAUGAUUACGUAGCCUUCCUCUGACUCUGUUGUUGGCGAUCAAUAAAAUUAGAAUGUUUCCUAUUGGCGAAUACAUAUGGCCCAAGAGUUGGGUGGGAAGAGGCUGUGUCAUUGCAACUGGACUGGCCAUCGCUGUCGUCUCAAGGAAGAUCGGAGAACGAAAGAAACUGAAACAACUUAGAGCGAAAUGGGACAGCGUGGGAAAGGACGUGGUGAUGCUUCACCAGUUUUUGAGGGGCAAAUACUGUCUCAACUUAAGUCCGUUCGCGCUCAAGUUAGAAACCUUUCUAAGAGUGGCCAAAAUUGAGUACGUGGUAGACAAAGACAAUCCCUACGGGCCAAAAAAGGGCAAAUGCCCUUGGAUAACACUGAACGGAGAGGACGUGGAGGACUCGCAGGUCAUCGUCCAGUACCUGACGGAGAAGUUCAAGGUGGAUGUCGACAGCCACUUGGACACAAGAGAUAUUGCGCGUUUGGAGGCCGUAAGAGUCAUGGCGGACGAGCAUGUAUUCUGGUGCGUGAUUACAUGGCGUUAUUGGCUGGACAACUGCAAGACCUUCCUGACGACGCAGAAUUUCUCGCGCUUCCUCAACUUCAUCUUCCCCUUCUUCAUGACCCGUGCCAUAAGGGAGAAGGCCGUCUGGCAUGGCAUCGGAUGCCACACGCCGGACGAGAUCUUCAACAUCUCGAAGAGAGCUUGCCAUACCCUGUCGACCAUCUUAGGUGACGACCCAUUUUUCGGUGGUGACCGUCCUUGUACGGCAGACUGUUCUGUGUUUGGACAGCUUUCUCAGUUCAUGUGGAAUGUGCCGGGUUCUCACUACGAGGCACUUGUUAAAGAGACAUACCCUUCCCUCGGCGCCUAUUGUAAUAGGAUGAAAGACGCCCUGUAUCCAGAUUGGGACAAACUACUGAAUCCACCCUCAGAAUAAAGAAAGGCUAACGGAGCGACUGCUGCUCGUAGAAAUAACUAAAAACCUCAUCCAGCUGUUUCGCUACAGUUGGAGCCGAAGUACUCCAGUUUGCAGAAUACUAUUGAAGAUUGUUUGUGUGUUGUGGCUCGGAGUUUUCCGUGGAUCAUAUUGUUCUCACUGCCAGUAGCUUUAACUUAUGCCGAGUAGCAGCUAUUAUUCAAUUAUUUUACCUCUCAGCUUCUCAGGGAAUGCAAAAAAUGCCGCGAGUGUUAUGUCUCAAUGCAGAUCUGGAUUUCGGAUGGAUACUGGCAGAGCAUUUUAAGCGGUUUAUGUUUUCAAAGCAAUACUAAGAGUACUUUCAAGAUAAUAAGUCCUUCACUGUUGCAGUUGAGGUGGUUAAGGGCAAUGCUGUUAAUCUUUGCCACGAAGAAAACAGUUGACGUCCCUUAAAAAUAUAUCAGAAGAUUGUAACAAAGAUUAGAGGGAUUUUGAGCACAGUGGCCUGUGUUGUGGAUUACAAAAUCCCAUGAAAGAGUUGAAGAAGAAAAAGAAGAGACUGUUGUUGUACAUUCAACGUUGAGCAUUAUUAAAAAGUGGCUACACUAGCGACACCGAGCAACAUUAUUCCUACAACAUCUGUGUAUGGAUUGAGUUACAAAACAUGGCGUCGCACGACUAUGGUCAUCGAUGCAUGGAAGUCUUUGGAUGUGAUACUCCAUUCACGGAGAAGUAAGUAAUCACGUGUAUUAGACAUGAUUGGGAAGGAUUUAUGGCUACCAAAUUUUGUACGUAUCAUUUAUUUAAGUGGUUUAACUGGCUUAGUCACAAUUACUUCUUAGGGAUACGUUAUAGAAUUACUUUAAUGACAUUAGUUUCAUUUUAAUCAAGUUUAGCUCCACAAUACAUUUAUUGCUAUAUCAGAAUUGUAGUACCAUGUAAUAAUAAGUGAGUCGUAA